GUGGGGACAAAAAGCCUUUGAUUGUGAACCAAGGAUGGAAUGUAGCAUGUGGCUCAAGAUCCCCACUCCUGGCCUUCUUCCUCCUCGUGUCCAUUAACAACGCCUCAGCCAAGCCCCUGGAUGCUGGCCCUGAGUAGCAAAGUGCUCUAAGAAGUUCUCCACAGGAAUCAGGAGUACGGGUCAUCCUGAUGCUCGUGUCUCCCUAGGCCAGAAGGAUUGUCAUCAAGGCCCAGCCACAUCAGGAAAGAACAAGAGGAGGACCUGCGUCUGAGAGGGCUGUCUUGACACUGGCCAGCGUGUCUUAGAAGCUGACCCCAUUAUGCAGAUGCGACUGGUCAGAAAUGGCAGCCGAAGCCAAACCAGCACCAAGAGAGAAGCUUGGCCAUGGGAAAGAGUCUGCACAAAGGAACAUGUUCUUCUUUUAGUAAUUAACUUUUCAUUCACUUGGCUCCCUUCUGGAUCACUGUUCUUAACACGUGCCUGUCUUAAUAAAUUUCAAAGAAUUCUGAACCAUUCCCUUAAGGUGCCUCCCAACCAUCUGAUUUCUUCAAACCCCAGCUGGAGUUAGAACCAAGACUUUUUAAAGACUAGGCAUGAGUGAAACAGAAUUUCUCUGUAUUCCUUUUUUUUUUUUUUUUUUGGACCUGCAAAAUAUUUUCCUAAAAAUAGGGACAGAGAGGAACUAGGAGUGUCACUGUGGAAGCAAGGGUAUAAUAUACAUGUUGAUCAAGCAUUAACAAUUUUUACUUAUAUGAAUCUUAGAACCACUAAUGUCCUGGCCACCACAAUUCAUAUUAUUGAAAGGAUCAAAACUGGUAGUAAUUCUCCAGUUCUUACUCUCAUACAUUAAAAGCCAAGACUAGUACUUAUGGAACCCUUUUCAAUAGUAAAAAUGGAUCUUUGAAUAGCAAGCUCAUGGAUAUAUACAGGAAUUAUUUUGGCUAAAAUGAUAUCAAACCAAUUCUAUGUUCUUCAUAAUAAAGUUCUUCUGUAUUAAAAGAAAACGUUCUUCCCAUCUUUGAACAACUCAGCGAGGCGUAGAAACCUGCCUUGGCAACCUGCAGUUGGCAUAACUGUGAGCGCUUGGAAACCACGCCUCACACAGGUGGGGAGGGCUCAGACGGUAACAGACAGGUUCAUGCGCUGCAUCUCAGGUCACGCCGGCUAACAAAACAGGUUCCUGCAUCUCUUCUAAAGGUGGAAGUAGCAAGAGGGAUUCCCCAUCGACAUGUGAGUCUGUCUAGAGAGGGCUGGGGUUACUUGCUUAGAGCAAACUAGCUGCAUCCACCUACACAUGU